AUUGAACGCUGGCGGCAGGCCUAACACAUGCAAGUCGAACGAGUGGCGGACGGGUGACUAAUGUCUGGGAAACUGCCUGAUGGAGGGGGACCACUACUGGAAACGGUAGCCAAUACCGUCUACCAUCGGAUGUGCCCAGAUGGGAUUAGGUAGUAGGUGGGGCAAAGGCUCACCUAGGCGACGAUCCCUAGCGGGUCUGAGAGGAUGACCAGCAACGCGGGAACUGAGACACGGUCCAGACUCCUACGGGAGGCAGCAGUGGGGAAUAUUGCACAAUGGGCGCAAGCCUGAUGCAGCCAUGCCGCGUGUAUGAAGAAGGCCUUCGGGUUGUAAAGUACUUUCAGCGGGGAGGCGUUACCCGCAGAAGAAGCACCGGCUAACUCCGUGCCAGCAGCCGCGGUAAUAC
rnacentral:rRNA from 1 species